rnacentral:rRNA from 1 species
AACGCGAAGAACCUUACCCAGGCUCGAAAUGUAGAGGACGAUACUAGAGAUAGUAUUUUCCGCAAGGACCUCUAUAUAGGUGCUGCAUGGCUGUCGUCAGCUCGUGCCGUGAGGUGUUUGGUUAAGUCCAGCAACGAGCGCAACCCUUAUCAUUAGUUGCCAACAUUUAAGGUGGGGACUCUAAUGAGACUGCCUGGGUUAACCAGGAGGAAGGUGAGGAUGACGUCAAGUCCGCAUGGCCUUUAUGUCUGGGGCUACACACGUGCUACAAUGGUCGGUACAGAAGGCAGCAAGACCGCAAGGUGGAGCAAAUCCGUAAAGCCGAUCUCAGUUCAGAUUGUAGUCUGCAACUCGACUACAUGAAGUUGGAAUUGCUAGUAAUGACGAGUCAGCAACAUCGUCGUGAAUACGUUCCCGGGCCUUGUACACACCGCAUAC